rnacentral:rRNA from 1 species
ACACGACUACAUUAGAUACCCCGGUAGUCCUAGCCGUAAACGAUACUCGCUAGGUGUCGGCCACGGUGCGACCGUUGUCGGUGCCGUAGGGAAGCCGUGAAGCGAGCCACCUGGGAAGUACGGCCGCAAGGCUGAAACUUAAAGGAAUUGGCGGGGGAGCACCACAACGGGUGGAGCUUGCGUUUAAUUGGAUUCAACGCCGGAAAUCUUACCGGGACCGACAGCAACAUGAAGGCCAGGCUGAAGACUUUGCCGGAUUAGCUG